rnacentral:rRNA from 1 species
AAACUCAAAUGAAUUGACGGGGGCCCGCGACAAGCGGUGGAGCAUGUGGUUUAAUUCGAUGCAACGCGAAGAACCUUACCUGGGCUUGACAUCCCGGGAAUCCCCCUGGAAACAGGGGAGUGCCCUUCGGGGAACCCGGUGACAGGUGCUGCAUGGCUGUCGUCAGCUCGUGUCGUGAGAUGUUGGGUUAAGUCCCGCAACGAGCGCAACCCUUGUCUUUAAUUGCCAUCAUUUAGUUGGGCACUUUAAAGAGACUGCCGGUGUUAAGCCGGAGGAAGUGGGGAUGACGUCAAGUCCUCAUGGCCUUUAUGCCCAGGGCUACACACGUGCUACAAUGGCCGGUACAAAGAGUUGCGAUACCGCGAGGUGGAGCUAAUCUCAUAAAGCCGGUCUCAGUUCGGAUUGGAGUCUGCAACUCGACUCCAUGAAGUUGGAAUCGCUAGUAAUCGCGGAUCAGCAUGCCCGCGGUCGAAUACGUUCCCGGGCCUU